AAAACCACACUUUCAGGGAUCGUUCCUAUAGUUCACUUCCAGAGAAGUUUCUCUGCACUUGCAGCGCACAGGAAACUGAAGAGGCGGAGGCGGAGGCAGAGCGCGCUCUCCUGGGCGUGGAGCCGGCGCUCGGGGUUGCUUCGCUGCAACGGCCAAUUGCCAUUGACAUCGUUUUCUGCCUUUAGAAGAGGAAGAGGGACAGAACAGUCUGAGUGGC